rfam:Caenorhabditis briggsae complete genome, chrX
AGCUGCAAAAGUCGUGGUGGCAUCACAAGUUGUCUUGCCAUCCGACAUUUGUGGUUGA